CGGACCGGCGCACGGGUGAGUAACACGUAUGGAACCUGCCCUAUGCAGGGGGAUAAGCGGAAGAAAUUCCGUCUAAUACCGCAUAACACCUUUAGGAGACAUCUUCUUGGGGUCAAAGGAGGCGACUCCGGCAUAGGAUGGCCAUGCGUCGCAUUAGCUAGUCGGCGGGGUAACGGCCCACCGAGGCGACGAUGCGUAGGGGUUCUGAGAGGAAGGUCCCCCACACUGGUACUGAGACACGGACCAGACUCCUACGGGAGGCAGCAG
rnacentral:rRNA from 1 species